rnacentral:rRNA from 1 species
CCUGACGCAGCGACGCCGCGUGAGGGAUGAAGGCCUUCGGGUUGUAAACCUCUUUCAGCAGGGACGAAGCGAGAGUGACGGUACCUGCAGAAGAAGCACCGGCCAACUACGUGCCAGCAGCCGCGGUAAUACGUAGGGUGCAAGCGUUGUCCGGAAUUAUUGGGCGUAAAGAGCUCGUAGGCGGUCUGUCGCGUCGGCUGUGAAAACUCGGGGCUCAACCCCGAGCCUGCAGUCGAUACGGGCAGACUAGAGUGCUGUAGGGGAGACUGGAAUUCCUGGUGUAGCGGUGAAAUGCGCAGAUAUCAGGAGGAACACCGGCGGCGAAGGCGGGUCUCUGGGCAGUAACUGACGCUGAGGAGCGAAAGCGUGGGGAGCAAACAGGAUUAGAUACCCUGGUAGUCCACGCCGUAAACGGUGGGUGCUAGGUGUGAGCGGUAUUCCACGCCGUUCGUGCCGCAGCUAACGCAUUAAGCACCCCGCCUGGGGAGUACGGCCGCAAGGCUA